rnacentral:rRNA from 1 species
CCCUUAGAUGCUCUGGGCCGCACGCGCGCUACACUGGUCGAUGCAACGAGUUUCUUUCCUUGGCCGACAGGCCUGGGCAAUCUUUGAACAUCGAUCGUGAUCGGGAUAGAUUCUUGUAAUUUUUGAUCUUAAACGAGGAAUUCCUAGUAAACGCAAGUCAUCAGCUUGCAUUGAUUACGUCCCUGCCCUUUGUACACACCGCCCGUCGCUCCUACCGAUUGAAUGGUCCGGUGAAAUCUCCGGACUGGCGUGAGUCGGAGCAAUCUGACAAACGCCGGAAAGUUGAUUAAACCUUACCAUUUAGAGGAAGGUGAAGUCGUAACA